GGUAAUUGGUACAGGAUGCAAAAUACUUGUACUACAAUCCUACAUACAGGACUAUUUAAUCAACAUUUCUAGCAGAUGUCCCAGCAAAAUUUUGCACAUAUCUCUAGCUCUAAUCAAUGAGAGUGACUGCAUUUCAAGAAAAAUCGUAUUUAAAACUUCUAAACUCAGCCUCUACUAAUACAGCUCGAAGCCACUGCUGUAGGAAAGAUACUGGCAGCAUUCAGACUCCUGCCCAAGUAAUUUUUCAGCAUAGAAAUCAUCAGCUAUCCUGAGAGUUUUCUUCACAAACUUACUAAUUUUUAAAGAACCUGUCCUGGUACUGGCUGGAAUAGAGUUACUUCCUAUUUCACAUUAUUCUGUAUAUGCUCAUUAGCAUCAUUCCUCCUCUCAAAGAUCUUCACCAAUUUAAGAUUUCCUUACAAAUAAGUCUGAUCCUAGCCCCCGAGACACAUCUUGGAACCCCUCCCAGCAUCUUCUGGCAUCACAGAUCAGUAAUUCAAGAAAGACUUACUCCAGGGGUAAGUAGACAAGCAGUGAGAAUGCUGAAAACCUAGAGUUGCUUUGCAAAGUUUACAGUGAUUAGUAAUUUGUGGUGUGGGUGCUGGUGAUUAGGCAAGUCGUCUUGUACCUGAAUGAUUGAAGGGCAUAAGGACCUGCUGUAAAGGCACAUUUGGGUGCCCCAAUUGGGCUGGGAUAUGACAUGUGCAUGAAAAAAUGUUUGUUCUUGUAAUUCUAUACUUUGCAUCCUAGCCUCUUGCCUCGGACUGCAUGGGUCAGUUUGAUUUUUUUGUGACACAGGCUUGGGGCUCACCUGUGGGCUGGGGCAUUUGCUGUGUGACGCCAAGGCAGUGUUGGAUGAGGCCAUAGAUGGGUGGAGCAAGCUGGGCAGCCACUGCAGUGCCAGCUCUGGAAAAUCAGCGUGUGAGCCCCAGCCAGCAAUUCCCACUCACCAGCCAGGUAUGAGCUGAGUUUUCCAUGCUCAGCCAGUCUCUGCCUGGCACCUGGGACAGCCAUGGCUCCUUCCCAGGGCUGGAUCCAGCUCGCUGCAGCGAUGCUGGUGCUGGGGCAGUGAUGGAGGUCUCUAUCCUCCUGGCAUUGAUGCUAAUCAAUGUGGUUUCUCCCACGGCUUCACACCACCUGGAGCAAUGCUCUGACCACCCAUCCUCUCGGUGGCCAUCCCCAUCCCAGUUCAGUCACCUGCAGGAUGGGCAGGGGCUGCAUUAACCCCCACCUGCUUCCGCUGUGCAAAUGACUGCAGGCAGAGAGAGGUGCUGUGAAGCGAACACCCAGACCUUUUAAUGAAUGAAACAAGAAACAGGGACGUGGGAGAGGGCUGGGGCUGGAGCAGGUGGGUGCAGGUCCUUGACCAUCAGUGGUGUCUUCUGUGUGGGGGUGACCUUGACCUUGAACAGUUAUGACCAUGUGACCUUGUCCUGGAAAAAUAGUCACGACUCUUCCCUCUGCUUCUUCUUGGAUACUGCGGUGAUGGCAAGUUGGAAUGUGAAUGGGAACUGCAUGAUCCGGAGUAGGAGCCAGUGCAGGAAGAACCUGAUCUUGAUUUGGAGUAGGGAAUAAGGAAUGUCUGGCUGACAGGGGAAGAAACAUCAAGGGACUGAUAACAACUAAAGAGGCAGUAAGUAAGACCAAGGAUGCAGACCUUCAGGAUAACAGAGACUGGAACA